UACGUAGGAGGCAAGCGUUGUCCGGAAUCACUGGGCGUAGAGCGCGUGUAGGCGGAUCGCUAAGUCUGUGGUGAAAGCGCCUGGCUUAACCGGGCGAGGUCCAUGGAAACUAGCGGUCUGGAGGCCGGUAGAGGGGGGUGGAAUUCCGGGUGUAGUGGUGAAAUGCGUAGAGAUCCGGAGGAACACCAGUGGCGAAGGCGGCCCCCUGGGCCGCGCCUGACGCUGAGACGCGAAAGCGCGGGGAGCGAACGGG
rnacentral:rRNA from 1 species